rnacentral:lncRNA from 1 species
UUUGGCAGAUAUUAUAACUUCAUUUCAUUAAACAUUAUUUCUUUUAGCAUUUUCAAAGAAUGUACAAGUACAAGUACUUUGAGAAGUAGGAGAAGAUAAGCAACAGAACAGAAUUCAUUUGGGUCAUUGCUGUCUAGAUUAUAUAGUGGAUUCAUAGAUUGUCAUUAUAUUGAUUUAUGUGCAUAUGAGCACAGAGGAGCAGUAGUCAAUGAAUAAUUUUGUGAUGAGAGGUAUGUUUAUAUUAAAAUGAUGCCUAGUUUAUUUGAUAAUUUUGCUCUCUUGUCAAACUCGGUAAAUCAUGGACAUGUAGUUUCCAAGAUUUAUUUUAAAAUUUGAGGUCAUAGAGUUCCAAGUUUUGAUUCUUGUUGUGGGCAAGUUUGAAAAUUAUCCAUGUUAACAGUUAGAAGUGACAAAUUAUUUUUUUUACAAAACCAUAAACAAUUUAACUAAGAUUUAACCCUUUCCUCCAUGGAAUUUUUUUUUUACAAACUUGAUUCGCAUAGGAUUUUUUCAAUAAAAAAAAAAAUCAUCAGGUUUAAAGUAUUAAUGCAUUGUAAAAACGAACAUUUCAUCAAUGAAAUUCAAGUCAGAUAUUCUCCUGAAUAUCCUUUUCAUAUUGGAUACAAUUUUUUUAAAGUCUUUUUUAAUAUGCAGACAUUUUGUAGUCAAUGCGUUUCAACUGAGGUACUACACAGGCGUCAAAAGGCGUCAUUAUGGAGUAAAGGGGUGGGGUCAAAAAGCGUCAUUAUGGAGGAAACGGUUAACCUCAAACUAAUUAAAACAGAAAAUGUUUUAGUUCUAAUCUAUAGCGUUAUGCCCUUUAUAUACACAGAAAAAAGUCCCAUAAAAUCUAACUUGAGGAAAACUCAAAAGUGGCAUUUUAUAUUUCCUUUGGAAAUUAACAUUGGAAGGGGAGAUAACUCCGCAAAAAUGAGUCCUUUUUUGGUCAGUUUUUGGUUGAUUUUCUUGAAAUUUAUGUAAAGGCUUAAGCACGAUACUUUUAUGGAGUUAUAAGUUUGUAUUUGACUAAAUUAUAUAAUCAUGAUAAUCUCCUGCUCAUGAAAUGUACAAAACCGAAGUGUUACAGGUAUUAUUUUUUUUUGGUGCAUUUUUCAUUAAAGAAAUUGCAAAUUUGAAGCUUUGAGACCAUUUUGAAAAAAUAAUGUGAAUAUUUGGUAUUGUUUAUAUCUGUAUAUUAUAUUCUUUCAGCAUCUUACUUGUCUAAAGAAACUUUAAACCACAAAAUGAAGAAUACGUGCUUAAUUAUUUUUAUCAAAUUUGAGAUUCUUAAUUACCUUGACACCAAGCAAUAGGUAUGGGCUUUGCUCAUUGUUGAAGGCCAUACAGUGACCUAUAGUUGUUAAUGUCUGUGUCAUUUUGGUCUUUUGUGGAUAGUUGUCUCAUUGGCAAUCAUACCACAUCUUCUUUUUUAUAAUAACUUAUGGUAAAGUGAUUAAUAUUGUGCAAUUGUAGUUAUAAUAUAGGGAUAUUGCAUGAAUAUUGUCAUGAGUAAAAUUUAUAUUGCACGAGCUUCGAGUGCAAUUUUUGUUCUACAAGGGACAAUAUUUCCCAAUAUUCAUGCAAUAAUUUUGAAGAUGUAUUGCACUGGUGCAAUAUUAUAGGGUUAUUGCAUGAAUAUUGGGGAAUAUUGUCCCGAGUUGAAUUUUAUAUUGCAUAAGCUUGCGAGUGCAAUAUAUGUUCUACGAGGGACAAUAUACCCCAAUAUUCAUGCAAUAACCCUUUUAUUGUAUAGCAAUAUAAUAUUUGAAAGUAAAAAUUGGUUUAAACUAAGAGUUUGUCAUUGAUAACGUCAUGAUUUUUUGAAGAUUUUUUGCACUAGUGCAAUAUUAUCAGAUUAUUACAUGGCAUUUUUCAUAUCGCAUGUAUUAUCAGCCCUAGGUUCAAUAUCAGCCCAAGAGCCGCAUGGCUCGAGGGCUGAUAUUGACCGAGGGCUGAUAAUACAUGCGAUAUGAAAAAUGACAUGUUAUGAUCUUUUUAUCAUAUGCUUCAACAGUAGAGAAAAAUAACAGAUUCAUAUAUUGAUCCUUCUACGUGGUUCCCGAAAAGAUCUUGAAAGAGUAAAAAGUUCACGGACGUCGGACCCAAAAUUUGAUACAUUCAAUAAGAAAUCUUUCUAUCAUAUGCCUCAACAGAGAGAAAAAAAAACCAACAUUUUAAUAUGGACGAAUCGACAAAAAAAUAAUUCAACAAUAUACAUGAUGAAAAUUGUUUGGAAAAGUCAACUUUUUUUUAAAGUAACUUUCUAAAUUAUGUUUCAGAAAAACUUAAAAAAUGCAUUUAUUUAAUAUUUUUUUUUAAUUUAAUUUAAUUAUUUUACACAAUAUACUUUCCAGUAUUCAUAUAAUUGUUUUGUACACUACUUUGUAAUGUUUUUCACUGAAAACGUAGCAUUAAGGUGUAUUUUCCGGAAUUUGCCGAGUAAUCACCGGAAUGCCAUGUGAUAACGUUACGGAAAGGCAUGUGAUAACAAUCGAAGCAUGUGAUAAACUUUUCAUAUCAGCCCGCUAAGCACCAAUUUGAAAAAUAUAGAAAAUACUUUAAUUUAAUGCUAUUAUCAUACGGUAAAAUCAUAUGGACGAAUGACAAAAAAUAAUUCAACAAUAUACAUUGAAAUUGUUUGAAAAGUCAACUUUUUUUAAAGUAACUUUCUAAAUUAUGUUUGAAAACUUAAAAAUGCAUUUAUUAAUAUUUUUUUUUAAUUUAAUUAAUAUUUUACACAAUAUACUUUCCAGUAUUCAAAUAAUUGUUUUGUACACUACUUUGUAAUGUUUUUCACUGAAAACGUAGCAUUAAGGUGUAUUUUCCGGAAUUGCCAGUAUCACCGGAAUGCCAUGUGAUAACGUUACGGAAAGGCAUGUGAUAACAAUCGAAGCAUGUGAUAAACUUUUCAUAUCAGCCGCUAAGCACCAAUUCGAAAAAAUAUAGAAAAUACUUUAAUUUAAUGCUAUUAUCAUACGGUAAAAAUCAUAUGUUAUUAAGUCUAAGUAUAUGAUAAUAGAAUUUAUUGCACGCUAACUUUUAGUUAUUUUCUGUGGGAAAUAUUAUAUUGCUAUGCAAUAAUAGAAUUUAUUGCACACUAACUUUUGGUUACUUUCUGUAGGAAAUAUUAUAUUGCUACAUGUAUGCAAAAAUUCUUAUAAUUAGUGCUUCACUUAAAUGUUGACAAGUUUCUUACUCCUUGAUACAGGUCCUAAUUUGGAUUGUAAAUAAAUAUUUGACAUAUUAUAUGUUUCUGAAUAAAUGUAGUCAAAGAACUUGAAAUUGGUUACACAGCUACUUUUGCAUCUAUGUACUAUUUCUGAACCAAAAAAAUAUGUAGUACUGUAGCUUCGGAGGCGACGGCAUCAACAAUGUAUUAGUUUGUGAUUAGGUCUAGUUUAUGGUGAACCACAUGUGAUAGGAUAAUCAUAUUUGGUAUGCAGUUGUAUAAGCAUUGGCACAUCUCAUUUCCAUGGAGAUUAUUUGGCCCUGCCUUCUCAGUCAUGGUCUAUUGACUUCGAAACUUUUGCUCAUACAUGUAUUAGUUUGUGAUUAGGUCAGUUUAUGGGGAACCACAAGUGGUAAGUCAAUGAUAUUUGGUAUGCAGUUGUAUAAGCAUUGGUAUAUCUCAUUUCCAUGGAGAUAAUUUGGCUCCGCCCCCUUAGUCAUGGUCUAUUGACUUUGAAAUUUUUUCUAAGUUAUCAUGUAUUAGUUUGUGAUUAGGUCAGUUCAAGGGGAACCAUUAGUGGUUGGGCAAUGUUAAUUGGUAUUCAGUUGUAUAAGCAUUGGCACAUCUCAUUUCCAUGGAGAAUAUUUGGCCUCGCCCCCUCAGUCACAGUCUAAUGACUUUGAAACUUAUCUUAGUUUACAUGUAUUAGUUUGUGAUUAGAUCAGUUUAAGAUAAACUGCUUAUGUUUAGUCAAUAAUAUUUGGUAUGCAAAUUUAUUGGCAUUUGCAAGUAUUGUUUCCAUGGAGAUUAUAUAGCCCCACCCCCUCAUCAUGGUUCAUUGACUGUGAAACUUUUACAUAGUUUACACAUUAAUGUUUGUAAUUAGGUUUGGGAACGACUUAUACAUGUACCGUACCUAAAUGUUACAAUAAUUUUUAAGUAAAGAAAGUUAUGAUACUAAAUAUCAAAAGUAAAUGUCCAGUACUACAGAUUUUAAAUACAGAAACAUUACCUAUGCAAAAGUAGCAGUUUAUAUGAAUUCAAGAAUUGAAUCUACAUGUAUAUUCAAUUAAAGAUUUCUUGCUGUUGUGCAAUACACUGGGCUGUUGCGCAAUAAUUGGUUAAUCUGUUGUCAGACUGCAAACAAACAAUAAUUUCUCAAUGUCACAUGUAUAUCAGAAAUUUAUAAAAAGAAAACUAAAAGGAGGUUUUCUUAAUAGCUAUAAAUCGGUCAUCAAAGUUUAACGAAAUUUUAAGGAUACAUGUAUUUCCAAAAACUUGAAAGUCACCCCUUUUCUUAUGACAUGUAUGAAGAAAAUCUUAUAACUCAGAAACUGACAAACUUAAAUUUAUAAAAAUCAAAUGGGAGCUUACAACAAAAAAUAUGAACAAUUUAACUAAGUUUCAUGAUAUUCAGCAUUUUUAUGUCCCACUCAACGAAGUUUUGGGGGUAUAAUGUUUUUGACCUGUCUGUCUGACGUCAAGUCCUGUUUCUUGUCAUCACAACUGUUCUCAAACCACACAACAGAAUUUCAUGAAAUCUUUUUAGAUAAUAAGGACAUACAAUGUAGAUGUGCAUAUCGACAGGAAAUUAAGAUUCAAUUUUUUUUUUUUUAGGAGUUAAGCCCCUUUGAACUUAUUUGCUUUAAUGUACUACUUCAACAGUUUGUUAUUGCAACUCUCCUGAAUCCACACAACAGAAUUUCAUGAAACUUUGUAGAUAAUAAGGACAUACUAUGUAGAUGUGCAUAUCAACAGGAAAUUACAAUUCAUUUUUUUUUCUAGGAGUUAUGCCCCUUUGAACUUAUUUGCUUUAUUACUACUUCAACAGUUUGUCAUUGCAACUCCUCUGAAUCCACACAACAGAAUUUCAUGAAACUUAGUAAUAUGAUAAUAAGGACAUACUAUGUAGAUGUGCAUAUUGACAGGAAAUUAUGAUUCAAUUGAAGUUUAUCAAUUGCCAAGGUACAUUGAAAGGUUGUUCUUUUAUUAAAAUCUGCACAUACAUGUAUAUAGGAUUUUUUUAUAAGCUUAAACUUGAUCUUCUUUCUGUUGUUAGCUUACAUUUUGUUUCAAUUUACUUAAAAGUAAAAGUAUAUAGGAAAGGUAUAAAUUAGUGAGCAUCGGUUCAUACUACAUAUAGUUUUUGUCUGGACUUCUUGAUUAAUUUAUAUAUAUAUAUACAAUUUUAGCUUGUUACCAAAUGAAAGGAAAGGACAUUAUUGGCAAGGAUUGAUAUUACUGGUGAACAUGUAUGUCAUGUAGGUGUGAAUGCCCUGCAAAACAGACCUGAUAUCAAAGUAAGUUCAUCUGUAGAAUUGCAGUUAAUUUAAAUAAUUUUAUGUUAUCUACCUAAAACUGUUUCAAGUUUAAUUGUACAUGUACAGUGUUGCUUAUUUUUCUCACUUUCUGAUUCAAUGCAUGCAUUAAGCCUUACUCUGCUCGCCUCCUUCUGCUCCAUACACACACACUUGAGAUGUCAGAAAUUCAGACUAUCAUAGCAUUUACAUUACAAACUUACCUAGUCAGACUGGCCAAUAUUAUGUUUUGAUAAGUUAACGUUGUUAUUUAGAAAACAUAAAAUAUUUGCCACUGGACAUUCAAAUAAGCAAAAAAAAAAACGACCAGUUAAUGAUUUUGCAUUAACCAUGUUAACAGAAUGAAUUUGCAAACAUAUAACAAUUAGCUUAUGUAAUUCAUGGAAGUUAGAUUUAUAUUCUUUAUGAAUAUUUUAUUUCAGUUACCAUCACAGUGAACAUGGUGAAGAAUAACCAAUACCAUGAA